rnacentral:sRNA from 1 species
UUAUGCUACUUCAGGUAAUAAAGGUAUUGAAAAUAUUCAACCGUUUCUGUAUCACUUUUAUGAUAUGAGUGUAGGUAUUUGUCAUAAUGGUAACCUCAUUAAUGCUAAAUCAUUGCGUCAGAAUUUAGAAAAACAAGGUGCUAUCUUCCAUUCGUCUUCAGAUACUGAAGUCAUUAUGCAUUUGAUACGUCGAAGUAAAGCUCCUACUUUUGAGGAAGCGUUGAAAGAAAGUUUGCGAAAAGUUAAAGGCGGUUUUACAUUUGCGAUAUUAACUAAAGAUGCGUUAUAUGGCGCAGUAGAUCCAAA